rfam:Rattus norvegicus chromosome 10, whole genome shotgun sequence.
CCAAAGGCUCUUUUCAGAGCCACCCCCAACCUCAUUAGGAAGUGCU